GAUGAACGCUGGCGGCGUGCUUAACACAUGCAAGUCGAACGAAGCACUUUAUUUGAUUUCCUUCGGGACUGAUUAUUUUGUGACUGAGUGGCGGACGGGUGAGUAACGCGUGGGUAACCUGCCUUGUACAGGGGGAUAACAGUUGGAAACGGCUGCUAAUACCGCAUAAGCGCACGGCAUCGCAUGAUGCAGUGUGAAAAACUCCGGUGGUAUAAGAUGGACCCGCGUUGGAUUAGCUAGUUGGUGAGGUAACGGCCCACCAAGGCGACGAUCCAUAGCCGACCUGAGAGGGUGACCGGCCACAUUGGGACUGAGACACGGCCCAGACUCCUACGGGAGGCAGCAGUGGGGAAUAUUGCAAAAUGGGCGAAAGCCUGAUGCAGCGACGCCGCGUGAGCGAAGAAGUAUUUCGGUAUGUAAAGCUCUAUCAGCAGGGAAGAUAAUGACGGUACCUGACUAAGAAGCACCGGCUAAAUACGUG
rnacentral:rRNA from 1 species